GACGAACGCUGGCGGCGUGCUUAACACAUGCAAGUCGAACGGAAAGGCCCUGCUUUUGUGGGGUGCUCGAGUGGCGAACGGGUGAGUAACACGUGAGUAACCUGCCCUUGACUUUGGGAUAACUUCAGGAAACUGGGGCUAAUACCGGAUAGGAGCUCCUGCUGCAUGGUGGGGGUUGGAAAGUUUCGGCGGUUGGGGAUGGACUCGCGGCUUAUCAGCUUGUUGGUUGGGUAGUGGCUUACCAAGGCUUUGACGGGUAGCCGACCUGCGAGGGUGACCUGCCACAUUGGGACUGAAAUACGGCCCAGACUCCUCCGGGAGGCAGAAGUGGGGAAUAUUGCACAAUGGGCGGAAGCCUAAUGCAGCAACGCCGCGUGCGGGAUGACGGCCUUCGGUUUGUAAACCGCUUUCGCCUGUGACGAAGCGUGAGUGACGGUAAUGGGUAAAGAAGCACCGGCUAACUACGUG
rnacentral:rRNA from 1 species